CACUUUCCUUAGAACUGCACUGAACAUGCAGAUGAGAAAGCGACUUAAAGUGGGGUGAACGAAGUGAUGAAUUCAGACAAAAUCAGUCAUCAUUUGAACAUCAGUAUCAUCAGGUCUACAGUGCAGUAAGUAUGAAGACUCUCAGCCUGACGGUGGGACUGCUGCUCGUGGUGUUUGCAGUUUACCACAGCGAUGCCUAGUGAGAUAGCCAUGAUGUCAGUGUCACUGAUGUGUAUUGUCACGAAGACCAACGUUAAUCUCAAGUGAGCUGUAAGUUCUUCACUGUAAUUUCCUGGUGUGAGCUGGUUGGUAAAUGUCUGACAUCCCUAAUUGAGAUUAUGUUUGUCCUUACAUUAUAUUUUACCUGUGAGAUUUUUGCUUAAUAAUCUUGGUCAAAGUCAUAGAAUAGGAGCCUUUAAAUUGUAUUGUUCAUUAAGAUAUAACAGAUUGUCUGGUUGUUAAGUGAUGACGUAUGAACCCUGCUUCCGGGUCUGCGUUUAUUAAGGCUGUUGUAUUUUUAACAUGUUUAAAUGUUUGUAUCUUGUUCUCUUUAAUCUGAACCCCCUAAAAAACCCCAGCAGUGAUCACUGUCAGCCUCUCUUGGUUUUUAUUACCACUAUUCAUAGGCAGCAUGUUUUAAAGUCAGUUUUUAAAACCUUACAGCGUAACUACAGCCCAGCCCAUGCAGCAGCAUAUUAAUGAUCGACCUUGUAUUGUGACAAUGCGACAUAAGAAGACCUUUUACAAAUAUUUGCAAAUUGUAAAUUUUCCAUGUGGGAGACGGAGGAGUGAAUAUUACUUUAAGGUUCUUUACAGUUCCCAUAAAGAGGUGGGGCAUUGUAAAGGGAAAGCAUGUUAAGAGUUCUAAUUAUGUCAGUUAUUUUGUAGACACUGACGAUCCUCUAUUUCUACUAACAUAUCUGAACUUUUAAUUUUUCAGUCAAACAGUCAGUGACCUUUCCAUUUCUUGCAAUUGAGGUAAAACGAUUUGUAGUAUCAAACAUUUCUGUUGAAAAGCAUUUAAAAAUGACUUCCUUGUGAUUGUAUAUGACCACCAACCAAUCAAACUACAUUUUGCACCAUAUCUACUGUUCAACUCAUAUCUAAUCAGCCAAUCAGCCAAAGGAGAUUUAAGGGACUUUGAAUGUGGUGUGGUUGUUGGUGCCAGUUGAGCUGGUCUGAAUAUUUCAUAAAUGGCUGAUUUACUUGAAUUUUCCCACACUUUAGAGUCUCUAGGGUUUACAGAGAAGGGUCUGAUAAAGAGGAAAUAUCCAGUGAGUGGCUGUUCUCUGGGAGAAAAUACUUUGUGAAGGCCAGAGGAAAAUAGACUGAUUUGAGCUGAUAGAAAUCGAACAGUUAUUCAGAUAACCACUGCAAAACCACUUAAUGUCACUCGUGUCAGUUACAAAAAUUAACAUUAGGCUGAAAUUUGUUCUAACUCACCAAAAUGAGACAAUAGAGGAUUUGAAAAAUGUUGCUUGGUGUGAUGUGUUUAGCUGCGACAUUUAGAUGGUAGGUUCAGGAUUUGAUGUAAACAACAUGACAUCCUAGAUCCAUUCUCCCAUGUAUUAAAAACUCAAGCGUAGGUGUUGAUUACCUGGAUCUUGUGCUUUCCAUUCAGCUGACUCCUCAGGACUUGUCUUACCCUCUGCAGGUAAGGCAGGUCAUCUUGGUUCCCACUUGCCUGUGGGAUUCCUAGGUAUCUGUAGCUGUCCUCGAUGUCUGUAAUGUUACCGUCUGGUAGUACAAUCACCUCAGUUCUGACUACCUUCCCUCUCUUCGUUACCAUCCCACUACACCUCUCCAGUCCGAUUGACAUUCCGAUGUUGACGCUGUAGAUCAGGGGUGGAGAACUCCAGGGCUCGAGGGCCGGUGUCCUGCAGGUUUUAGAUAUCACCCUGGGUCAUGUCGUGAAAAUUUCAAGUAACCUGCAAAGACUCAGUGAGUGUUUUUUGAAGUGGAGUUUAUUAUAUACAUUUCUUAUUUCUUAUAUACAAACUGGUAAAAUUCAGAGACAAAGAGAAUUCCAGAGCACAUCACGUCACUCUAUACCUGCCAGUUCAGCUCAUCCUUGAAACCUUCCCUUCAGAGAGAAUUACAACCAGCUAUCACCUCCCUUUUCCCCCCAGAAAUGAGCAACAGGUCCCCCCGCACACAGGUGCCUGGAUGUCUCUGGCCGAUUACAAUGGCCCCACUGUGAAGGUGUGAUAAAGCAUAAAGACACAUUUGUGAUGUAAUCCUAUAUGUAUAUAACUAAAUGACAAAAAGUGAUAUUACUAUUACAAAAGUGAUCAAUACAUAAAAUAAAGAAAUUUCCCAUCACUGUCAACACACCUGAAUCAAAUGAUUAGUUCAUUACCAGGCCUCUGGAGACUUCAAGACAUGUUGAGGAGGUCAUUUAGCCAUUUAAAUCAGCUGUUUUCAAUCAAGGGCAUGUCUAAAUCCUGCAGGACACCGGCCCUCGAGGCCUGGAGUUCCCCCACCCCGCUGUAGAUCCUUCACUGCAGCCUGAGUAAAAGAAAGUUGUGCAGAAAGUGAAGAUUGGGACUCCGCAUGCAUUAUCAGUGCAUGUACUUAUUUGUAAAAUAAUGAGUGGUUUGUUUGAGUUUGUUUUAUCAGAUAUAUUGAGUCCCUUAAACUGUUGUCUUAUGGUACAGAAAAACCCCAAUCUAUUAACCACCUUUGGGUUGAGGAUCAUUUUUCCCAGUUUCUUAGAAUUUGUUUGAAUAUGCAGAUGAGAAUGUGGCUUGAAGAAGGGUCAUUGGACCGAUCACUUCAGACACGUCAUCAUCAGGUCUACAGUACAGUCAGCAUGAAGACUCUCAGCCUGACGGUGGGACUGCUGCUCGUGCUGUUCACCGUUUACCACAGCGAUGCCUCUAAGGCAGUGAUUUCACCUGACCUUUGCUGUUUUCACUUCUUUGACAAACGGAUCCCAAAGGCGAACAUCGUCUCCAUCGUGAAAACUCACAGUCAGUGCUCCACACCAGCAUUUGUGAUCAAGACACCCAGAGGGCUUUUCUGUGUGAAACAGACUGUGAAGUGGGCAAUGGAACAAUUUGUCAAACAAGAGAGAGCGAAAAUUGAACCAAUGCUACAGUUAACACUUCAAAAAUCACAAAAUACUGUCAGUCCAUGAAGUUACUUUGUAAACUGUUGCUGGAAUUUUAACCCCUUCAUUCUUUACCUGCUUAAUUACAGCUGCAGAAUAUAGAAGACAUUGAUUUUAUGCUGGUUUCAUUUUUUUCUACAUUAUCACAAUAUCAGCUUCAUAAUUUGGGAAUUAUGUUAAUCCCGUAUGUAAAACUCAGUUGAUAAAGUGUCUUCCCUCAUUAAUAUCCCAUAAUCAUCUGAAGGUGGUCUUACUGUAAGAUGGGAGCAUUUAAGAGCCACAUGAAGUGCCAGACGACAUAAAGUUAGAUGGCAGGAUUAGUGAGUGCAAAGACAGAGUGCUGAAAAAGUCUCCAAUGUUUUGUUGACUAAGUAACUCCAGAGUUCCUCUUCUGGAAUUCAAAUUGAGGUGUGGGUUUUCAUGGCCUGUAGGUGUAAUGUGUAGGUGACCCCAUACUUUUGUCCAUAUAGUAUUCUGCACCGCCUACCUUCCCUUAAGCCAUGUUGACCCAGGUUGAUGUGACAGUGUCUCAAAGAGCCUCAUUUGAUGAGCAAAGUUUAUGUUAGUCAGCACUCUUAGGCUUUCUUUAAGCAGAUCUCCAAAGCUUUGAGGUGUGUUUGGCUUCAAUAUCCUGCUGCAGUGUGAAUUCUUCUCCACAAAGAUCUACAUCACUGUUGGAGCACAUCUCUGAAGAAUGGAUCACUGCUUGCCCUCAGUCAGGGUGCAGCUGAUUCACACCAGGUGUUCAGCUCUGGGUCUGGAAACACCACCAGACCUAAACUCUCACUGUCUGAUCCACUGUGGUGUCUCUCCCUCUCCUUACAAAGGCCCUUGUUUUCCUGGCUCUAAUCUCUGAGAGUGAUUGUUAAAAACAAUUUCAAAUAUUUUUGAUUAUUUUCAGGUUCAGAUGAAAGUUUUGCACACAUUAAAUGUGUUCUCAGGCUUUUGGAUCUAGCUAUGUAUAACAUGUAUCAAAUCAUGUGAUCAUUUGUCUUCACUGUGUUAUUGUUAUGCUGCUACAGUAUAUCUAAAAAGAUUGUAUAUGUCUUUCUUUAUUAUUUUGCUUUAUUCUUCAUUAAAGUUUCAUUUCACAAAG